rnacentral:rRNA from 1 species
UAGGGAAUCUUCCGCAAUGGACGCAAGUCUGACGGAGCAACGCCGCGUGAGUGAAGAAGGAUUUCGGUUCGUAAAACUCUGUUGUUAGAGAAGAACAGCGCAUAGAGUAACUGUUAUGCGUGUGACGGUAUCUAACCAGAAAGCCACGGCUAACUACGUGCCAGCAGCCGCGGUAAUACGUAGGUGGCAAGCGUUGUCCGGAUUUAUUGGGCGUAAAGCGAGCGCAGGCGGUCAAUUAAGUCUGAUGUGAAAGCCCCCGGCUCAACCGGGGAGGGUCAUUGGAACCUGUUUGACUUGAGUGCAGAAGAGGAGAGUGGAAUUCAAUGUGUAGCGGUGAAAUGCGGAGAUAUAUGGAGGAACACCAGUGGCAAAGGGGACUCUCUGGUCUGUAACUGCCGCUGAGGUUCGAAAGCGUGGGUAGCAAACAGG